rnacentral:lncRNA from 1 species
AUUCACUCGGAUCUCCGCUCCCGACACCCCCGUCGCCGCCCCCCCAACCCCCCGCCCAGUUGUUUGGCUCCGGCGGGGAGUCCAGCUCACCUUUGGCUUUGAAGGCACGUGGGUGAGUUGUGAAUGGACACCGGAGUCGCCUUCCCUCUCCAAGACUGAAGAUUGUUUAUUCUUCCUUUCCCCUCCACCCCCUUCCAUGGGAAGAUAAAUAUUCAAUUUACAUAAGAUGACAUUUAUGUGACAAUUAAGAAGAUUCCCCGAUGGAAUGUUGUGAACACAUUUGCUUAUAGGAGAAAUAAAUCUAAUAAUAAACAAACUCAUAAUAACAGCACAAAUCCUCCGACAGGGCGGAUUGUCUACCCAACAAAGAGGGAGAUGAUGAAUGCUGAAAUAAGCAGUUUUUGCAACAAGAAAGAAAUAUGAGCUCAAAGGGAGUCACUGCAACAUUUCUUCUUCCUUGGCCUUCAUUCACAAAGUCUGAGGAGAAUUGUCUGGCAAGAGGAUGGUCUGGGUAUUACCUUCCAGUUAGACCUGGCUGUGGCUCUCAGUGGUCAAUUGGUGGUAUUUUUCUCUAGCCAAGCUCAGAGUCUGGAAACAGGUGCUGCAGACUUGGAGUGUGUAACAAAAUAGUUAAAUACUUAGGUUCUAAUCCUGGCUUUGCAUUUCAGAAGCUGUGUGAUGUGGGCAAGUGAAUUCAUCUCCCUGGAUCGCUUUUUCCUUUUGGGUAGAAUGGGGUGGUUGGAGGGUUCUUGAGGCCAUGUGUGCACAUACACAUAUAUGUAUGUACGUACAUAUACAGGUGGUAUGUGUAAAGCAGCAACUGGCACAGGGUGCAUAGUGCUCAUUAGCACCUUGCCUGGUACCUAAGUGGGUUUUUUUUAUUUUGGAAGGGUGAAAUUGUUCUCUGAAGCUUGAUGGUCAAGGUCCAGAUGUCCAUUCCGGGGUGGGAGUGAGGGUACCAGUUUACAGUGGCACAGUCUAAAGAGAUGACCUCCAGAGAUGGAUGAGGGAAGUGUGACCAUUUAAAGUGCACCUGCAGUGUACUGGUCACUUUGUGAGCCAUUCUAUCUCAUCCUCCCCCAAACCCCUUCCUCCCUUUUCAGAAAGGUUUAGUAACUUACCACAGCCACACAGCUAGUAAGUGCUGGCAGAAUUGGCUCCUAGGUCUAGCUGACCUUGAGACCUAUGUAGUUUCUAUUUUACCACACUGCCAGAAAUAAAAAGUAUUACUAUUAUUGGUUUGAUUGGGGAUGGGGGGAUCUGAUUGCUGUCUUGGCAAGAAAGAAUUUUAUGAGCAGCACUUUGCUUCUGAGGUGGUUCCCUGACUUGGGGUGAGACCCAGGCCUUCUAAUGAGCCCUUGAAAAUACCUCUUGCUUAGGACUGGAAGCCCUAUCAAAAUCCUUGGAUUCCCACAGUUCUCUGCUGCUGUUUAAGGUUAACCUUGGAAGCUUUAACAGAAUGAUAACGAUAAAGCUAAUUGUAACUCCUUAAUCUUUAUUAAAAGUCUCACAAAUCAUUCAUUAACUUUUUUUUUUUUCCUUUUUCCACAAUCUCUGCUUUGGACGUAAUCAUUCAUUAACUUUUUACAGGAAAGAAAUGAGAAGAAAGAGAGUUCUUGGAGAUGUAAUCCUUCAUUGUUUUUCAACAAGCCUCCCGUAUGCCAGAGACCAUUCUUGGUGUUGGGGACACAGCACACACACACACACAC